rnacentral:tRNA from 1 species
UAGCCUAGUGGUUAAGGCUAUGGAUCGCCAAUCCGGAAACAGCGGGUUCGAUUCCCGU